GCUUCCUUAGCUCAAUGGAUAGAGCACAGACCUUCUAAGUCUGCGGUUGUAGGUUCGAAUCCUACAGGGAGCGCCA
rnacentral:tRNA from 1 species